rnacentral:rRNA from 1 species
UACGAAGGGGCUAGCGUUGUUCGGAAUUACUGGGCGUAAAGCGCACGAGGCGGAUUGUUAAGUCAGAGGUGAAAUCCCGGAGCUCAACUUCGGAAGCUGCCUUUGAUACUGGCAAUCUCGAGUCCGGAAGAGGUUAGUGGAAUUCCCAGUGUAGAGGUGAAAUUCGUAGAUAUUGGGAAGAACACCAGUGGCGAAGGCGGCUAACUGGUCCGGUACUGACGCUGAGGUGGCGAAA